CCUUGUCACGCCGCAUGUACAAUAUAUCAAUAGUAACAAUAGCAUGGAAAAAACCUCGUGCAACCCCUCAACAACAAUCCGCACGGCAGAGACCUCGUGCACAACACAACAUAACCGCACGGCAGAGACCUCGUGCACCAACACAACCAGCACAACAACAAUAGUGACAAUAAUACAAAAUAUAGCGAGUGAAUCCACUCCAAAACUUCAAAUCGCAAGGAAUCGGUAUAACCAGUUCACAAGAAUAGCCACAGUAAGAAAAAUUAAAGGCAUAAAGGGAACAGUUCAACGAAAGGAAAAACUAACAUGUAGUGACGAUCCCAAAAUAAACAAAUCAGUACAAGGAAGACAACACGAGUCUAGUAGUCCUAAAUAAAAGCAAGUCGACAAGGAUAUAUAGGUCAUCUAAACUCCGUUUAAGGUUGGGAAGUUACGAGAAUGUUCGAUAAUUUCAAUUAAGGGAAGAUGAUCUUAGCUGCACUUAAGACUAGGCGAUUAUAGGAGGGGUGACAAUAACCCUCAAUAACACAGGCAUUUAUGGAAAGGUAGCAUGAUGAUAAGAGAGACGAAGUUCUUCAGUUAAAUCAAAUAGGAUGACAAUUAGGCAAUAAGAUUAAAUCAUAAAGCAAAUAAUUCCAACUAAGCAUGUAGAGACGAAACCAAUAAGCAGGAACUCAGUCAUAUUAAGAAUAACUUCAUACGUAGUGAAUAUAAGAACCUAAGAACCCUAAAAGGCCAUGUAUCCACAAUUAAGUCUGAGUACGCACUCAUCACCUUGCGUACACGGAUUACAAUCAACAUAGAAGACUCAAUCCUAAGGGGAAGUCCCCCACACAAGGCUAAGCAAGAUAGACGACAACUCAGUACUCUAAAAUGGACUUCUCUGACGAAAAGACCUCCGGACAGCUCAAAUCCAACUAUAACAACUCCAAAACACACAUAAAUCGAAUGAGGAACUAUUCCGAAUAAUAAAGUUUCAAUAUUUACAAAAUAUAAAAAUCGACCCAAAAACCAACCCUCGGGCCCGCACAUCGGAACCCAUCAAAUUUUACAAAAU